UCCAUUUUAAAUUUAUUUUAGGAAAAGGGCUAAUCCUUGAGACGUGAAUGCUCCCUAGGAUGCUUCACAACCUAAGUCCCAAUCAUCUUUUCACCCUGCCUUUACCAAUGCUAGGAUCAAUGACUAGAUCUUUGUGGUGAUUGCCUGACCCCAGCAGUCGGUGGAGAGGUGGCCUUUUGACUACUCAGAUUCCAAUUCCUCAUCAAUAAUUUACCUUUUAGUUUUACCAUCCACUGAUAUUUAUUUCCUGAAUUGUUUCAUUACACUUCGUAAAAUGGAGAUUAUUUUUUUUUCUGAUCCUGGUGUUUCUUCUUUUGUUAUUUAUAAGACACCGGGAGCAGAGCUUUUCUUUAUCAGCCGGGGCUGUUUUGUAACUUCCAAUAAUCCUUUUCAUAGGGCGUGGCUACUCAGAGUUCAGAGGGCAGGUCACCUUCAAGAGAGACAGCAAGCUGAACAUGCUGUUUUGACUUUUUUUUUUUUCUUCCCAAUUUUUUCAAUCUUUUGCUAUUUUUAUUCUAUUCAAUUGCCAAAUUUCUUCUACCAGACAGCGGCCAGCAGCCUCACCUUUGAUAUACGAUGAUCCCCCCACUUAACAGUAUCUAUAGCAUACCGACAGCCUCUAAGAAUCACCGAAUUUAAACCUACUUAUUUCCUUAACAUGUAUUUAGUUUAUUUUAGGUGUGUGUACCUGAAUCUAUGUAUGUGUACCCUGUUUGUGUAGAUGCCUGUGGAACACAGAAGAAGAUGUUCUUACACCUGUGGACCUGGAAUUACAAAUGGCUGUGGACUACCCAAUGUAAAUUUUCUGUGAGAGCAGCAAGUGCUCUUAACUACUGAGCCUCUUUUCAGUCCCCAAGAUAACCCUCUUUUAAUAUACAUUUCUAUUUUCUAACUGUGAAAAUUGUGAUUACUAAUAGUAUCAACAUUAAUAUGAUUUUGAGUCCAUAAACUAAUAUUUAUAAUAGAUUCAGUUGUGGUGUGUCUGCAUGUGCGUGUGUGUGUGCAUUUUGAGCAGGGUAUCAUGCUAUAACCUGGGCUGGCUUCUGAAGUCACCAUGUAGCAAAGAUUCAGCGAUCCUGCCUUGUCUCCUAAGUGCCACAUUCCAAUCAUAAGCCCCUGUGUCUAGUUCAUUAUGAUAUGUUAAAAGAAAGCUGACCAAAUUUCGGCUAAUAGUAGUACUACCUACAACAGUGGAAUGAAGGCAUUGUUGUUUUGGUUGUUUUUGUUGUUUUGUAGUUUGUUUUGUUAAAUUACAACCCACCGAUAAUUUAUAAUACAUUUUAUACUCUAAAAACAGGUACAUAGGUCAAAAUUCUGUACUGAGGGAAAAAGGUGUGGCUGGCGUUAGUCCCUCCUCUUCUUUCCCCUCCGAAGCCCCUCCGAAGAGAGGAGGCCCACAGAGGUGGGGGUGAGGGCUAGCUAGCUACAGUGAGGACUGCCUGUCAACUUGUAUCCAGAGAAGCUCUGAGCCCCACCCUCCAGGACUAUUGGGUGACAGCCCAGGAGACAGGCCAGAAGACACACUGAACAAAGACUCCUGAAAUAGGAGACCGGUGUUGAUCUGAGCAGCGUCUGAGCAGCAACUGUCAGCACAAGAUAGGAAGACGCGUCACCCGAGUGAAGGAACCUUUCAUAGCAGCUUGGCACUUAAAAAGAGUAAAUCUCACAAAGAACAAAUAGAAUAAAUGGAAAGUAGAUGCGUCUCGUCCAAAACAUUUCACCAGACAGCAUGUGGCACCAGUCUGAUAUUUUCGAGCACAACGCACAGCUUGUAGCUGUUAUUUAUCUCUUUUUAUCACGUUGGCAUUUGAGCACCUUAUCACCAUAUGGGAGGGAAAGAUCCGGUUUUCUCUGCUUCGGCUGUGUUUUCAACCUGUGGUUCGGGAGCCCUAGUGUUAAUUCUGAACUGUACUCGCGUGUCUGCAGGAAAGCAGCACACAGAAAAGAGGCGACGCUUGUAGCCCUUCAAGGUGAUCAUGAAGAGUAAGACCUGCAGGACUGACCCUACUUCAAGUCACAUCAACCUACGUUAGGCCAUUUUGUUUGAAGGUCCUGUGGCCUUAUGCAAUCCCAUGUUAUAUAUAUUAGAGUUGUCUCUCCUCAAGAAGAUAAGUUGGACUUUUGUUCGGGCAAUGCCUAUAACUAAAAUUAGUCUAUUGGACAAAUUAGUUAAUGGUGAACUAUAUAAGCUUUUGUUCAUUCAUGUUAAAUCAAACUAUGAAAAUAGGACACUUGACAUCAAAUGAGUUACAACCACACACACUUAACUGUUUUCAAACUAGAGUGGGGGAAUUCCUGUAUUUAGUCUGACUAAUGUACAAAUAUGUAAAUUUAAGGCAUGAAGUUUUUUAUUAAACCCUAAAAUAAGCUUAUUUUAAAAAAGUG